AGGGGCAGCAUGACCUAGCAAUAGGUUGAUGGCGACCGGCGCACGGGUGAGUAACACGUAUCCAACCUACCGGUUAUUCCGGGAUAGCCUUUCGAAAGAAAGAUUAAUACCGGAUAGUAUAACGAGAAGGCAUCUUUUUGUUAUUAAAGAAUUUCGAUAACCGAUGGGGAUGCGUUCCAUUAGUUUGUUGGCGGGGUAACGGCCCACCAAGACAUCGAUGGAUAGGGGUUCUGAGAGGAAGGUCCCCCACAUUGGAACUGAGACACGGUCCAAACUCCUACGGGAGGCAGCAGUGAGGAAUAUUGGUCAAUGGACGAGAGUCUGAACCAGCCAAGUAGCGUGAAGGAUGACUGCCCUAUGGGUUGUAAACUUCUUUUAUAUGGGAAUAAAGUGAGCCACGUGUGGCUUUUUGUAUGUACCAUACGAAUAAGGAUCGGCUAACUCCGUGCCAGCAGCCGCGGUAAUACGGAGGAUCCGAGCGUUAUCCGGAUUUAUUGGGUUUAAAGGGAGCGUAGGCGGACUAUUAAGUCAGCUGUGAAAGUUUGCGGCUCAACCGUAAAAUUGCAGUUGAUACUGGUCGUCUUGAGUGCAGUAGAGGUAGGCGGAAUUCGUGGUGUAGCGGUGAAAUGCUUAGAUAUCACGAAGAACUCCGAUUGCGAAGGCAGCUUACUGGACU
rnacentral:rRNA from 1 species